AUGAAUAAUAAAUUGUGUGUAAAAACCAAAUGUACAAUUUAUGGUAACCUUUGAUACCAUGACAUGAAAAAUAGCUGAGAUUUAGAGAGUUUGAAAUUCAAAGCAUUGAAAUAACAACAACAUUUGUAUCACGGUUCCUUCCACCUUUAAUAAAUCCCAAAAUGACAAUGCAUCAUAAGCAUACAUAAUGCAGACAUUUGACAUUUAAAUGCAAAGCUUAUCUCAGAGUACAGGGGAAUUGGGAGGUCAUACAUAGCAAGCGACAGAUGUGAUUCAAGUUAAAUGACAAUCAAGUAUAAUACAAAAUGGAAACAAUUCCUAAUGGACCGUAAUUGCAUGGGUGUUUGUUUUUUAUUCCAUGCUAUUUCAGGUCAGAAAUUUCCUUUCGGUAACGGACGCCAGGGUAAUUAGCCUGUAGACUGCAAUUAAUAAUCCACACACUUAAGGCAAGUACUUUAAAAAACUCGUAUAUUUGACUAUUCCAUAUUACACGUAGUGUGAUAUUGAAAGUAGGCCUGCAUGUUUUUUAUAGUCUCAUCCCAUAGGGUUCGUUUAGAUAUAGUCGAUUUGGUUCCCCAAUUUAUAGGGAGUCAAUCAUUCGAUUUUGGGGGGUUAUUUUAAAAUUGUACUGUAUUGUUUAUUAUUAUUUGUAUUCAGUUUUGAUUCAUAUUUUCAUGUAUUUUGUAUGUGAUAGUAUUCUAUUAUUUAUCCAUUAUUCAUUCAACGAUGUAAUUAAUCGCUGAAACCAUUUUUGAGAGAUGUUCGUUUAGACAGAAAUCUCUUUCAGAUUUUCGAUAAUACGCAGGUCUACUUUAUCAAGAGAGAAUACAUUUAAAAUAUGGUUUUGUUUUCCCUAUAAACCACGUUGCAUUUUAUUCAAACACAUUUCGGCCUUGAGCCUGAGUGACUUGUGGGACCACUAUAACUGUUUCAAUAUCCGUGUUAUUCUUAAAUUAUUGUUAAAUUAAACAGUAAAAUAGGCCUAAAUGUGUAGCAAGUAGCCUAAGCUAUUUGGACAAAAUGUUGCAUGAUCGUUAAAAAUAACGUCCACAAGUUUCCAACAGCCUCGACACGUCCUCCUAUAUGAAGGCAGAUAGGUACCCCUCUGCGGUAUUAACACAUUAGGCCUAAUUAGGCGAAUUUGUAGAUGUAUUUAUCCAUUGUAAAGCUGCGUUGAAAUAAACGCAUAGGCCUAUACCCGGUCGUGCGUUUCGCUCAGCCUCAAUGUAAACGAGGACUAAUGAAAAAGAAGCUGAUUGAACUCUCGCUUGAUUGCCUAUAGCCGAAAUAGGUUGCUUUUAAAGUCACGUCACACUGACGAUCAACCAGGCUGAAGAUCACAUGCUGACGGUCAAAUAAACGAUGGAUUAAGAACGGAUAAAUGAAAAGGGGAACACGGUUCAGGGCUUUUCAUAGAUGAUAUCUCUAAAACCAAGGCAAAAACUAUUUACAGAAAAAUAGGGGAAACCUAAGCUAUUCGAAAGGCAACGUGGUUCAAAACGAGGCAGCAGGCCUACCUGAUACAUUAAGUCCUCAUCGACGCAUAGGCCAAAAUAAGUGAACCUAAAAUCAUAGGGUGUUUUGGAGAAAUAAAAGCAGAAAAAUAAUAUUUAAACGUUAUUCAAACAUUUUAUUUAGACAACGACGUGAUGGAGGUAGGCCCAUAUCAUUCAUAUAAACUUGAACUUCGUUGGCCUCGCUGGCCGUGUCCAUUAGGUUAAUUCUAUCAAAUGGCCACUAGAUGGAAGCAUUUGUACACCUAAGUCGUUGAUGGACUGCAGCUGCCUGAAAUCUACUUAGGUCGCUGCCCCGCCCACCUCGGCGCUACACGCACUCUAAUUGGUCUGCUACGAUGGGCCUACAGGACACUUUCUGCACGCCCACAUUCAUAGUCAAUGUCAAAGUACCACCCUGCAUCAAAUUUUAAUGAAAAAAUCUAGAUAAAUCAAGAGAUGUGUGUAUUUAAUUAUGUGUGCAUUUAUCUAACACUGCUGUUAUUGUUUGUUAGAAGCAUAGGGUUUGGGCUAUGGCAUAUAAUUAUGAUAAUUAAGUAGUACUUAGGAGUAGGCCUUGUAGGCCUACUUGUAGUAUUAGGCCUAGCAGUGGACUAUAUGGCGUAGCAACUGAAGCAAUACUUUUGAUGCCUAUCAUGUAACGUCAACAUUUGGAAAGCUUUGAGCGCCCUUUUAAACAAAGCCUCACUAAUGUUUGACGGUUACUGCUGUAAUUAACAGGCUGUAGGCCUAGAUAUUUUCAAAUAACAUGGAAUAGACUACAAAUUAUCCAAACCAUGUCUGGGAGCAUUCUGUUUAUUAGAGUUAAAACUAUUGAAUUAAAUUGACACCGAUUAAAUGCACUUUUUUGAAAUGCAUUGAUGUUCGGAGAAAUCGUAUAAUAAUGAUAGAUUAACAUAAUAGAUUGUUAGAAAAGCACCUAAAUUAUACGAAAAAUACAAUCCUUAAAGAGUGAAUCAUUUAAAAUGAAUAUAUGUUCACUCCUC
ensembl:lncRNA